GGAAGUAAAAGUCGUAACAAGGUUUCCGUAGGUGAACCUGCGGAAGGAUCAUUAUUAUUUGGAUCGAAAUUUACUUCUAGUAUUGGUCACGACUAUUUUGGAGUAAAUUUUUUACCAAAUAGUUUUAACAUUUACUUCCUAUAUUUUUAUAUAGGAGCGAUAACAAAAAUAUUUAAAACCCCACCCUUAAAUAUCUAUACGUAUUUUAAAUCGAUAAAUUAAAAGAUCACUUUCAACAACGGAUCUCUUGGUUCUCGCAUCGAUGAAGAACGUAGCGAAGUGCGAUAAGUAGUGUGAAUUGCAGAAUUCCGCGAAUCAUCGAAUCUUUGAACGCAAAUUGCACUUUCUGGUAUUCCGGAGAGUAUGCCUGUUUGAGGGUCAAUUAAAAAAAAUCGGGCGUUUUUGCUGUCCGGAAUUGGGUCGUCAUAACCUUUCGGUUAAGUAACCUAAAAUUUUGUAUGAUUUUACGAACGUAUUUAAAAUAUUUAUGUACGUUUUGCAAUAUCAGUGUUUUAUUAGAUGUGGUCAUUUUUAUGGUUCGCGUCUAUAAUUUCUCAUCUAUUGACCUCAAAUCAGGUAAGAAUACCCGCUGAACUUAAGCAUAUCAAUAAGCGGAGGA
rnacentral:rRNA from 1 species